rnacentral:rRNA from 1 species
GACGAACGCUGGCGGCGUGCUUAACACAUGCAAGUCGAACGGUGAAGGAGAGCUUGCUCUCCGGAUCAGUGGCGAACGGGUGAGUAACACGUGGGCAACCUGCCCCAGACUUCGGGAUAACGCUUCGAAAGAGGUGCUAAUACCGGAUACGAACUCCUUGGGCAUCCUUGGAGUUGGAAAGUUUUUCGGUCUGGGAUGGGCCCGCGGCCUAUCAGCUUGUUGGUGAGGUAACGGCUCACCAAGGCGACGACGGGUAGCCGGCCUGAGAGGGCGACCGGCCACACUGGGACUGAGACACUGCCCAGACUCCUACGGGAGGCAGCAGUGGGGAAUAUUGCGCAAUGGGCGAAAGCCUGACGCAGCAACGCCGCGUGAGGGAUGACGGCCUUCGGGUUGUAAACCUCUUUCAGCAGGGAAGAAGCGAAAGUGACGGUACCUGCAGAAGAAGCACCGGCUAACUACGUGCCAGCCGCCGCCGUAAAAC